GCCUCUCAAGGCUCCCCAGCGGACUCUACUGAGCCUUGAAAAUUCAUGCAGAGUCCAGGAAGGCCCCAAGGAGUCAGGCAGGAGAGAGGCAGGGCUGGCCCAGCAGCAGGUGCCUGACCCUACCAGGGUGCCCGUUGUAGCUGACACCAGAUUAUCCAUGAGGUGAGAGUCUCAUAUUCCCUCUCCUCGAUUUCCAAGAACAGACAAUGAGGUGGAUGGACAGCCUGGAUAUCAAGGAAGAGGUACAGGGUGGAAAGACAGAGCUUUGGAGUCCGUCUUGUCCUCAGACAAAGAAAGCUCUGGGUGGGCAAUGCUAACCUCAGGCAGACUUUCUGAUUUCUCUUGGCCUCAGUCUUUCCUCCUGUAAGAUGGGCAUGAUAAUCUCUCCUCUAUGGGAUUGGAGAAGGCAUGGCGGAUGUGCAUGUCAAAGGAUCUAGGGUUACAGGUGCCCUGUGACUACCAGUUGGUUUUCGUAAGAUGGGUCAUUGCAUGGGACCCCUUGUUGGGCUGUGUUCUUAUGUGAUCCUAGCACCAGCGUCUGCUGCUUAUCUGGGCUGGAAGUGCCUUGAAGGGUGGAACCCCAUCCACCUUGUCACCGUAGUUCACCUUGGGUGCAGGGCAAUACCGCUGUAAAGUGAAGGACAGGAAAAUGUAGCGCACAUCUGCCGCGUCCCCAUUCAGUGAAAAAAAACGAAAGCUGCAGGAAGGGCCUUCCUGUAGCCCCAUGUUUAGGGGUGAUCAUCGGUCAGGAGAGCACAUUUGAAUUGGGGUGUCAGGCAAGUUAGACGUAGAAGUGGUUGACAGAACAGACCCCGGAGCUGGAAAGCCCUGGUUUGGAGCUCCAGUUCCACGGACUCCAUGCUUGUCUGCUCCUCUGGAAGACAGGGGUGCAGCACCAUCUCUGUGAGUCAUUCCAAGGGUUACAAAGACGGACCCUCCACAGUGCUCACCCGCUGCCCCAUGCAGACAUCACACAGGGCUAAGGGCUCACACAACAGGCAGUGGACCACCUCAGUGCAGCAGCUGUAAAGAGAAGUCCAUGUUCUGAAGGAGCUGAAGUCUGAGUGGGGGGCCUCUUAGAGGGUUGCAGGAGUCCUGGGUAUGACAGACACACUGUACUGGGACAAGGAUUUACAGAGGAUUUACAUCACUGCUGGCCCUGGGAGCUCAUGUAGAAGGGGACUAGAGUCUGCCGUUGUCACUGAAGACAUGGAGUACAUGGUGGGGAUGGAGAUGGUGGUUAUAAUAAAAUGAGUUCUAGUCCGCGUUAUUGGCUCAUAAUUGGAACUACAUGAACAAAACUGAUACAAUCUCGCUGAGCCUUCCGUGGCUGAGCAACUGAGCAGACCGCCCAGUUCCUUCCCGCCACCUCCCCCUCUUCCCUCAUUUGUACAUUGUCUCCGAAUCCCUUAAAAUAAUAAAACCUAUUCCAA